UACGUAGGGGGAAAGCGUUGUCCGGAAUCAUUGGGCGUAAAGAGCGUGUAGGCGGCUCGAUAAGUCUGCUGUGAAAGUCCAGGGCUCAACCCUGGAAGGCCGGUGGAAACUGUCGGGCUAGAGUCCGGAAGAGGCGAGUGGAAUUCCCGGUGUAGCGGUGAAAUGCGCAGAUAUCGGGAGGAACACCAAUGGCGAAGGCAGCUCGCUGGGACGGUACUGACGCUGAGACGCGAAAGCGUGGGGAGCAAACAGG
rnacentral:rRNA from 1 species